GAAAUGCGAUAAGUAGUGUGAAUUGCAGAAUUCAGUGAAUCAUCGAAUCUUUGAACGCACAUUGCGCCCUUUGGUAUUCCAAAGGGCAUGCCUGUUCGAGCGUCAUUUCAACCAUCAAGCCCCCGGCUUGUGUUGGGGACCUGCGACUGCCCGCAGGCCCUGAAAAACAGUGGCGGGCUCGCUGUCACACCGAGCGUAGUAGCAUACAUUCUCGCUCAGGGCGUGCUGCGGGUUCCGGCCGUUAAACGACCUUCAUAACCCAAGGUUGACCUCGGAUCAGGUAGGAAGACCCGCUGAACUUAAGC
rnacentral:misc_RNA from 1 species